AUACGGAGGGAGCGAGCGUUAAUCGGAAUUACUGGGCGUAAAGCGCGCGUAGGCGGCUUUGUCAGUCGGAUGUGAAAGCCCUGGGCUCAACCUGGGAAUGGCAUUCGAUACUGCAGAGCUAGAGUAUGGUAGAGGGAAGUGGAAUUUCCGGUGUAGCGGUGAAAUGCGUAGAUAUCAGAAGGAACACCAGUGGCGAAGGCGACUUCCUGGGCCAAUACUGACGCUCAGGUGCGAAAGCGUGGGGAGCAAACAGGAUUAGAAACCCCAGUAGUCC
rnacentral:rRNA from 1 species